AUCUCUAUAAUCUCCUAAUGUAUAAAACAUUAAUCUCAAGAAAUCGGGGGGGA
rnacentral:antisense_RNA from 1 species